rnacentral:rRNA from 1 species
GACAGAGGGUGCAAACGUUGCUCGGAAUCACUGGGCGUAAAGGGCGUGUAGGCGGGCAGGUAAGUCGGGCGUGAAAUCCCUGAGCUCAACUCAGGAACUGCACUCGAAACUACUUGUCUUGAGUACCGGAGAGGAAAGCGGAAUACCUGGUGUAGAGGUGGAAUUCGUAGAUAUUAGGAAGAACACCAGUGGCGAAGGCGGCUCACUGGUCCGGUACUGACGCUUAGGUGCUAAAGCGUGGGGAGCAAACAGG